GCAGCACGGGUGCUUGCACCUGGUGGCGAGUGGCGAACGGGUGAGUAAUACAUCGGAACAUGUCCUGUAGUGGGGGAUAGCCCGGCGAAAGCCGGAUUAAUACCGCAUACGAUCUACGGAUGAAAGCGGGGGACCUUCGGGCCUCGCGCUAUAGGGUUGGCCGAUGGCUGAUUAGCUAGUUGGUGGGGUAAAGGCCUACCAAGGCGACGAUCAGUAGCUGGUCUGAGAGGACGACCAGCCACACUGGGACUGAGACACGGCCCAGACUCCUACGGGAGGCAGCAGUGGGGAAUUUUGGACAAUGGGCGAAAGCCUGAUCCAGCAAUGCCGCGUGUGUGAAGAAGGCCUUCGGGUUGUAAAGCACUUUUGUCCGGAAAGAAAUCCUUGGUUCUAAUAUAACCGGGGGAUGACGGUACCGGAAGAAUAAGCACCGGCUAACUACGUGCCAGCAGCCGCGGUAAUACGUAAGGUGCAAGCCUUAAUCGGAAUUACUGGGCGUAAAGCGUGCGCCGGCGGUUUGUUUAAGACCGAUGUGAAAUCCCCGGGGCUCAACCCUGGGGAACUGC
rnacentral:rRNA from 1 species